rnacentral:rRNA from 1 species
UACGGAGGGUGCAAGCGUUGUCCGGAAUCACUGGGCGUAAAGGGCGCGUAGGCGGCUCAUGAAGGCUGUGGUGAAAGUCCGGGGGCUCAACCUCGGAUCGGCCGUGGCGACUCGUGGGCUGGAGCACUGUAGAGGCGGGUGGAAUUCCACGUGUAGCAGUGAAAUGCGUAGAGAUGUGGAGGAACACCGAUGGCGAAGGCAGCCCCCUGGGCCAAUACGUGACGCCUCAUGCACGAAAAGCGUGGGGGAGCAAACAGG